rnacentral:sRNA from 1 species
CUCUCAAAUGAUGUCUUGAACUAAAAAUCUCAGUCUGGAGCGAAAGCCGGAUUUUGGUAACUGAGGUAUGUACUGUACAUACUACAGAGUAUGGAGUACUAACCCGUGGCUGUGAGCAAUGAAAUAAUUCCAAUCUAAAGCAAACACCUCUUCUCCUGACCUCUCUACAUGCAGUCAAUUAGAUGAGAUGAUAGAAAUAUGAUUUUCGCAGUGCAGUUUUCAAUGAUGUAGUUUUCUAAAUAUCUGUGGAUCUCUUGGGUUGGGCUGUUAUAAUUGAACAGAAAGUUGUUUCUUUUUUGGGAUGGGUACAGUUCACUAAAUACUAGAUUGGGUAUUUUUAUGAGGCAUACUGUCCAUGUACUGUACCUCAGUAAAGUAUGUAUAAACCUUUGAUAUUAUAUUCCUCUCUCCUUUUACCUCCCGUUACAAGAAAUCUAAAGGAAAGAAGAGAAAGAAAGGUUCACGUAUGUAAGUAACAUGAGUUUGUUUAGUUGUUGGGCUUCAUUGUCUCCUUUGUUUCAGUGAUUCCUUGCAUACUAUUCUUUGGUUACGAAAUGAUUCAGUGCUAUAAUGAU